AUUGAACGCUGGCGGCAGGCCUAACACAUGCAAGUCGAGCGGAUGAAGGGAGCUUGCUCCUGGAUUCAGCGGCGGACGGGUGAGUAAUGCCUAGGAAUCUGCCUGGUAGUGGGGGAUAACGUCCGGAAACGGGCGCUAAUACCGCAUACGUCCUGAGGGAGAAAGUGGGGGAUCUUCGGACCUCACGCUAUCAGAUGAGCCUAGGUCCGAUUAGCUAGUUGGUGGGGUAAAGGCCUACCAAGGCGACGAUCCGUAACUGGUCUGAGAGGAUGAUCAGUCACACUGGAACUGAGACACGGUCCAGACUCCCACGGGAGGCAGCAGUGGGGAAUAUUGGACAAUGGGCGAAAGCCUGAUCCAGCCAUGCCGCGUGUGUGAAGAAGGUCUUCGGAUUGUAAAGCACUUUAAGUUGGGAGGAAGGGCAGUAAGUUAAUACCUUGCUGUUUUGACGUUACCAACAGAAUAAGCACCGGCUAACUUCGUG
rnacentral:rRNA from 1 species